AAACAUUUAUUCAUUUAAAGGUAUAUUGUUAUACUCAGAGAUGAAUUCCUUCCCUCAAAGAUUUCUGAGUCAGAAAAGUAUUGGUUGGACUUUGUUACUGGGAGAAUAUGUUGAUGAAACAGGGCCAGAUUUUCCAGACUCCCCAAAGAAUGUUAGUUUCUCUGACUGAAGAUCACACAGUUCUCUAAUCCAACCCUUUCCCCAUAUCAAGGACAGCAUAGAUGCUUGACAAAUAGUCAUCUUGCUUCUUUUUUAAGUUCUCCCCAGGCAGAGAACCCCACCUCCUGAUGAGGCAACUUAUUUCUUUUUUGAUUACUCUGCAAUUGUUGGGAAGUUUUUUUUCCUAUGUUCAAAUGAUGUCUUUCUUCCCUGGAAUUUUAUCUAUUAAUCCUACUUCUGCCUUCUGGGUCCAAAAAAAUAGAUCCAAUAACCCUUUGCACAUGAACCUCUCAGAAACUGGAAGAUAGCUUUUUGAAAUAUUUGAAAAUAUGCUUAUUCUUAGGGUCCCUUCUGGUUACUAAGCCCUGGCUUUGAUUUUCUUUCCACUUAAACUGGGCCUAUUUCUCACUUGAAGCCAUAUAAACAAGGAAGCUUCUGUCAUGCCUAGGGACAAGCUUCAGGUAAGGCAUAACCUCCAAUAGCAGCUCACUGCUAUGAUAUGGAAAUCACUUUAAAAGACUGAUAUAUAUUAAUUUAAGGUCGCCAAGGAAUUCAGCUAUGUAAUUCCUAAAUGAAAACCGAAGUCAACAGUCAAUCUUUUAUGGCGUUUUUAAUUACCAACAGUAGGAAGAAAGGCAUGAAAGAGAGAGAGAGAGAAAGAGAGAGAGAGAGAGAGAGAGAGAGAGAGAGAGAGAGAGAGAGAGAGAGAAAGAGAGAGAGAGAAAGAAAGAAAGGAAAAUCAAGGAGAGGGAAGGGGGAAGGAGUAUAAAAAGGGAGGGAAGGAGAGGGGGAGGAGAAGGGAGCAUAAAAAGGGAGGGGCAAGAAAGGGAAGCAUAUCAAGGGAGGGGACUAGGGGGACUGACCUAAAGUAAAUCACUGGUUCAAAAGGAUAUAGCUAAAGAAGAAAGGUCAGAACUAGGGGAAGAUAUCAAAAUGCCAGGGAAUCCACAAGUGACAAUAAUACCUUUGAACGUGAAUGGGAUGAACUCACCCAUAAAACAUAGACAAAUAGCAGAUUGGAUUAGAACCCAAAACCCUACCAUUUGAUGUCUUCAAGAAACACAUAUGAGGUGAGUUGAUACUCACAAGGUUAGAAUUAAAGGAUGGAAUAAGACCUUUUGGGCCUCAACUGAUAGAA
rnacentral:lncRNA from 1 species